CAGGGGCCAGCCCCAAAUGAAAGGUCCUUUUUAAUAAAGUCCUAUUCUCAAAAAGGAGCAUACCUAUAUAUUGCAUUUUUUAAUGUAAAUACUUUCUUUUUACUGCACAUUACAUUUUUAUUACAGAGCUCCAUAACUUUUAUGUAGGAAACAAUUUCUCUUCCUGCUUUUCCUUUAAAGAAAAAACCAGGGGGAAAAUUAACAAUAGAUUCUCUGAAUUUGGUAAGGUCAUUGAUCAGUCUAUCCAUUACACAAGUUCAAAAGAUACCUGCUGGAUUACAAAUUA